UACAGAGGUCUCAAGCGUUGUUCGGAUUCAUUGGGCGUAAAGGGUGCGUAGGCGGCGCGGUAAGUCGGGUGUGAAAUCUCGGAGCUUAACUCCGAAACUGCAUUCGAUACUGCCGUGCUUGAGGACUGGAGAGGAGACUGGAAUUUACGGUGUAGCGGUGAAAUGCGUAGAUAUCGUAAGGAAGACCAGUGGCGAAGGCGGAGACCUGGGCCGAUACUGACGCUGAGGUGCGAAAGCGUGGGGAGCAAACAGG
rnacentral:rRNA from 1 species